AUUGAACGCUGGCGGCAUGCCUUACACAUGCAAGUCGAACGGCAGCGGACCUUCGGGUGCCGGCGAGUGGCGAACGGGUGAGUAAUAUAUCGGAACGUACCUUUCAGUGGGGGAUAACGUAGCGAAAGUUACGCUAAUACCGCAUAUUCUGUGAGCAGGAAAGCAGGGGAUCGCAAGACCUUGCGCUGAUUGAGCGGCCGAUAUCAGAUUAGCUAGUUGGUGAGGUAAAGGCUCACCAAGGCGACGAUCUGUAGCGGGUCUGAGAGGAUGAUCCGCCACACUGGAACUGAGACAACGGUCCAGACUCCUACGGGAGGCAGCAGUGGGGAAUUUUGGACAAUGGGCGCAAGCCUGAUCCAGCCGUGCCGCGUGAGUGAAGAAGGCCUCGGUUGUAAGACU
rnacentral:rRNA from 1 species